GCUGGGCUUGGAGGUGUAUCUGUAGUCCCAGCUAUUCCAGAGGCUGAGGAAGGAGGAACACUUUGAGCCUAGGAGUUCUGGGCUAGCCUGGGCAACAUAUGAGAUUCUCUCUUUCU
rnacentral:sRNA from 1 species